CCACUCCGCCAUUUUCCUCCGGAAGUGUGGCACCCAGAGGCGGUACUGUAGCUGGGCCGGCUUGGGGCUUGGUUCUAUGUCCCUGUGGGUCGGUGCGAGGGCCAGGAGGAACCCGUGAGCCUCAGGGGAUCCCAGGGGGCCGGACCAGUGUUCCCUAGUUGUGGGAGCAGACGCGUGGGCGCAUCACGGGAGGGCAGGGCCUGAAGAGCAGGUGCGGGCUGCGGACCCUGGCAGGGGCUGGGAGGACAGGCGUGGGGUCCCAGCAGUGACGCGGGUUCUAGAGGCACAGGAGCGGGUAGGAGAGGCCGGUGGCCCUGGGCCCGGAGUCUGCAGGCCGCGCUCCUGUCCUGCCGCUGAGGGACCCGGUUACCAACCCGCAUGAUGCUCAGUUUGCCCAUCUGUCCCAGUGCUAACACACAGUUCUCGGGAGACGUUCCCCAUUCCCAGAGGAGUAGUGUGAAACGCAUGCGCCUCUAGUCUUAAACUUGACGUUUGUAUUAGUUUGGUUUCCUGGUGUCUCUUUAGCAAGUGAAGUUUCUGGUUCCCUCCUUCACUGUGUGACCUGCCUAGUCCUCCUGGGUCGCAUUUACAGAAGUUUAUACGAGACCUAGUUUCCAGGGAAGAACUCACUGAUUCCGCGAGGGAGAUGGCGUAAUAGAUGAUGGUCGUCAGCCUUAAGGGUACUUCAGUCUUAACUGUGUGUUACAAAGUUUGAAAGGGAGGGUUCCCUAUGAAUAAGAAGCACACUUGAAAGAACAGCCGUCUGGUCUAACCUCUCACUGGUGCUUCAGAGGAGGAAAAAAGGUCACAGCUAUGUUUCCAGUGUCCUCUGGGUGUUUCCAAGAGCAACAAGAAACGAAUAAAUCUCUGACGGAGAUUCACUCUUGUUGCCCAGGCUGGAGUGCAAUGGCACAAUUUCGGCUCUCCACAAUCUCUGCCUCCCAGAUUCAAGCUAUUCUCCUGCCUCUGUCUCCCAAGGAGCUGGGAUUACAGGUAAGUGCCACCAUGCCCUGCUAAUUAUGUACUUUUAGUAGAGAUGGGGGUUUCUCCAUGCUGGUCAGGUUGGUCUCAAACUCCUGACCCCAGGUGAUCUGCCCGUCUUGGCCUCUCAAAGUGCUGGGAUUACAGGUGUGAGCCACUGUGUCCGGCCCUUAAAUUCUAUUUCUUAAAAAGAGUCCGUUCAAGAUUGAUGUUAUAGAUACCCCUCAACUUACAAUUGUUUUAUGUCUUAAUGAACUCAUCCUAAAUUGAAAAUAUUGUAAGUCUAAAACGCAUUUAAUAUAUUUAACCUACUGAAUAUCAUGACUUAGCCUCGCCUACCUUAAACUUGCUCAGAACACUUACAUUAUCCUACGAUUGGGCAAAAUCAUCUACCACAAGGCCCAUUUUAAAAUAUUGAGUUUCUCAUGAAAUUUAUUGAAAACUAUACUGAUAGUGAAAAACUGGUCAUAUUGAUGCUCAUCGUUAACGUACACAGAUGAAAGCACCAUUAUCAAGUAAGAAGAGCACAAGUCAAACCACUGUAAGUUGAGGACUCUCUGUACUUUCUUAAAUGUUUGAUAGAAUUCACCUGAGAAAGCAUGUAGCCUGUAAUUAUAGAAAUCUUUUUAAAUUAAAAAAAUUCUUCAAUACAUAGAGAAGCUAUUACUUUUUCUAUUUCAUUUUGCAUUAGUUUUAAGAAUUAGAUUUACAAAUAAUUUCCCAUGUUAUUUUAAUUGUCAAAUGUAUUGGUCUAAAGUUUUCAUAAUUAUAUUGAUGUCUGUAGUUUCUGUAGUUACAUCCUCUAUUUAAUUCCCAUUAUCUACAUUAUGUAGCUUCUCUAAUUUUUUUCGAGAUAAAUCUUGCUAGCCAUUGUUUAUUAAAAAAUUUUUUUUCAAAGAA